GGAAGCUUGGCAGAGUGGUCGAUUGCACUAGUCUUGAAAACUAGCAUACCGAAAGGUAUCCAGGGUUCGAAUCCCUGAGCUUCCGCCA
rnacentral:tRNA from 1 species